UCCUCAGACACAGUGGUGACCAUGGCCUUCAGGGGCUCUAGGGCACGGAUUGUCUCCUUCUGAUGAGCUAAAGAGAGCAGAGGAUAGAAAUGCUGCUAGAUACCGAGUAAUGUCACUUGCAGAUAUUUUCCUCUUUGCCAGAACUUUAAUGUAAGUAUUCAUUGUACUGUAAGUACAGUACUGUAAUGUAAGUAUUCAGUGUACAAAUACCAUGCAGCACACUCUGUAUUUUAAAACUUAAAAUGCAUGCAUAAAUCUAAAAACAGGAAUGACUUUUCUUAUUAUAGUUGGGUGUGAGUUUCCUUCCUGUGCUGUAACUGUACCAAAGGUUUUUUCUGAGCUCUUUCAUUAUGACACUGGUACCAGGACAGCUCCCCAGAAGAUGGCAAAAAUUAGAGCACUAGCAUAGCUCACUUGGUGUGAACAAAGAACACUGUGUUCUGAGGUGUAAUUGGAGUGUUCCACAACUGGCUGCUGACCACUUGGCAAAGAGGAGUCAAUAAAACAUCUCGAGUAGAAAAUAUGCUUAAACAAAAAUAAUAAUAAUUAGAAAGUAAGCUUCAGCACAGGCUAUGGAACUGACACUGGUAAUCCUCUGGGAGCUGAAGGAAUGUCUUGUGAAGAGUUCUAGAAGGAAACUGUUAGUAAAAUGUUUUAAUGUAAUGAUUAAUGUUGAUUCAUUGAUCUUGCACUGUGCAAAGAUUUCUGCCUACAGUGAGGGGCUAUCAUUAGGCAGUCAGGUAACAGAUACAGGGAUAAACAAUACAUUUUAUUGAAGAAACUGUCUCAUUAGAAAAAUAUUGACAUCUGUAGGCUGCUCAGUGUGACAGGAGAUCCCAGUGACAGGCUAUUUCUAGCACACUGACUGUUUACAAAGCACUGCUAUCACUGUGGCAUCUGAGAGCCAAGAGGGGUUUAAAGCACACCACAAAUGGACAGAGAACAGCCAGUUCAGCUCUCUGCCCUGCCUUGCUUCAGGAGUAAUGCAAGCUUCAAGUUACCACUGCAAGUGCAUCCAAAUAUAUCAGUAUGAUAUACUCUGCUAUCAACAUGGUAGUUUCAGAAAAACUGAGGUAUGGAUGUUGCCUGACCUGUGUGUGUGGUGAAGAUCUUAAGGAUAAAUAAAUACAGAAAAACCUUCAA